CCCUAAUCCAAUAUGUCGUCAUCACCAUCGCUCGCUCUUACUGUUCACGUCGACUUCUCGACGAUGCCGCGUCAUGGUCCAUCACGUACGUCGUCGACCUUCUCCUCGUCCUCUUCGCUGUGGCCCUCAGUUGGUCCCGCCGGAUGAACCACUAGUCGUCGUCGCCGGCGUCUCGGACUCCGUUGAGUUCUUCGGCGUCGCUAGGCUAGGCUUAGACUCGCCAUGGACUCUGUUGGUGGCAAGUCUGCUCUGCUGAUUGGUGUGGGCUGUCGUCGUCUUGACGUUAACUGGGAGAGCGGCAAGUCGACCAGGAACUGCUGGGCACGACGCGGCAAAUCCGGGCAGCCUCGCUCGGGACCUCCGAGGUUGACGGCCACUCCCCGAGCCUCUCACGCCGACAUCCUCACAACCGGGCGGUCAUCAUGAGCUGCUGCCUCCGUGGUAGCGACGCUCAUUCCCCACGUCCUUGUUGCUGUACGUCCCAACUCAUCCUCUGGAAUUUUUCUUCUCGGGUCACGUGCCACGAGCCCUUCCACCACCAAUCUCUUGCGUAUACGUGGCUGGUGCGCGUGUACUCGGGUGACUCUUCUGUCCUCGCACACCGCCGCCGCACCUCCGCGUUCGGCACGCGUCUGGCGCCUUUACUCAUGACAGAGAUACAUGCAAUGGAUCCGAUGGCGCCCACGAGAAGAGUGGGACGGAAAAGCCAGCGCCCUCAACGUGCAGACUUUUUGCAUAGUGUUUCACCCACACGCGUGUGGUCCUGGGGUUGGUUGAAAGUGAACUACUGUGGCAAUAACACCUUACGAUCGCCUGUA